rnacentral:rRNA from 1 species
UACGUAGGGUGCGAGCGUUAAUCGGAAUUACUGGGCGUAAAGCGUGCGCAGGCGGUCUGUUAAGACAGAUGUGAAAUCCCCGGGCUUAACCUGGGAACUGCAUUGUGACUGGCAGGCUAGAGUAUGGCAGAGGGGGGUAGAAUUCCACGUGUAGCAGUGAAAUGCGUAGAGAUGUGGAGGAAUACCGAUGGCGAAGGCAGCCCCCUGGGCCAAUACUGACGCUCAUGCACGAAAGCGUGGGGAGCAAACAGG